rnacentral:rRNA from 1 species
GACGAACGCUGGCGGCGUGCUUAACACAUGCAAGUCGAGCGGAAAGGCCACUUCGGUGGUACUCGAGCGGCGAACGGGUGAGUAACACGUGAGUAAUCUGCCCUCCACUUUGGGAUAGCCACCGGAAACGGUGAUUAAUACCGGAUAUGACCAGUGCCUGCAUGGGUGUUGGUGGAAAGUUUUUUCGGUGGGGGAUGUGCUCGCGGCCUAUCAGCUUGAUGGUGGGGUAAUGGCCUACCAUGGCUUCGACGGGUAGCCGGCCUGAGAGGGUGACCGGCCACACUGGGACUGAGACACGGCCCAGACUCCUACGGGAGGCAGCAGUGGGGAAUAUUGGACAAUGGGCGGAAGCCUGAUCCAGCAACGCCGCGUGAGGGAUGACGGCCUUCGGGUUGUAAACCUCUUUCAGCACAGACGAAGCGCAAGUGACGGUAUGUGCAGAAGAAGCACCGGCCAACUACGUGCCAGCAGCCGCCGUAACAC